UGGGGAAUAUUGGACAAUGGGCGCAAGCCUGAUCCAGCCAUGCCGCGUGAGUGAUGAAGGCCUUAGGGUUGUAAAGCUCUUUCAGUGGGGAAGAUAAUGACGGUACCCACAGAAGAAGCCCCGGCUAACUUCGUGCCAGCAGCCGCGGUAAUACGAAGGGGGCUAGCGUUGUUCGGAUUUACUGGGCGUAAAGCGCACGUAGGCGGUUUGUUAAGUCAGAGGUGAAAUCCCGGAGCUCAACUCCGGAACUGCCUUUGAUACUGGCAAGCUAGAGUCCGGAAGAGGUGAGUGGAACUCCUAGUGUAGAGGUGGAAUUCGUAGAUAUUAGGAAGAACACCAGUGGCGAAGGCGGCUCACUGGUCCGGUACUGACGCUGAGGUGCGAAAGCGUGGGGAGCAAACAGG
rnacentral:rRNA from 1 species